rnacentral:rRNA from 1 species
GCUCCGGAGUUAGCGGCGGACGGGUGAGUAACACGUAGGUAACCUGCCCCUUAGACUGGGAUAACUCCGGGAAACCGGAGCUAAUACGGGAUAAUAAAGAGAAUCGCCUGAUUUUCUUUUGAAAGACGGCGUCUAGCUGUCACUAAGGGAUGGACCUGCGGCGCAUUAGCUAGUUGGUAAGGUAACGGCUUACCAAGGCGACGAUGCGUAGCCGACCUGAGAGGGUGAUCGGCCACACUGGGACUGAGACACGGCCCAGACUCCUACGGGAGGCAGCAGUAGGGAAUCUUCCGCAAUGGACGAAAGUCUGACGGAGCAACGCCGCGUGAGUGAGGAAGGCCUUCGGGUCGUAAAGCUCUGUUGUGAGGGAAGAACAAGUGCCGGCGUAACUACCGGCACCUUGACGGUACCUCACCAGAAAGCCACGGCUAACUACGUGCCAGCAGCCGCGGUAAUACGUAGGUGGCAAGCGUUGUCCGGAAUUAUUGGGCGUAAAGCGCGCGCAGGCGGCUUCUUAAGUCUGAUGUGAAAUCUCGGGGCUCAACCCCGAGCGGCCAUUGGAAACUGGGGAGCUUGAGUGCAGAAGAGGAGAGUGGAAUUCCAC